AGGACGAACGCUGGCGGCGUGCUUAACACAUGCAAGUCAAGGGGGCCCGCAAGGGCAACCGGCGAACGGGUGCGUAACACGUGAGCAACCUGCCCAUCUGUGGGGGAUAGCCGGCCCAACGGCCGGGUAAUACCGCAUACGUUCAUCUGGGGGCAUCCCCGGAUGAGGAAAGCCUUCGGGCGCAGGUGGAGGGGCUCGUGGCCUAUCAGCUAGUUGGUGGGGUAACGGCCUACCAAGGCAACGACGGGUAGC
rnacentral:rRNA from 1 species